ACUUCGUUGGGUCUUUCCCCUAUUAGAUUGUUGCUAGGGUAUUGUCCUAGCAUGUCUUUGAUGGGUAACAGAGAAUCAGGGUUCGAUUCUGGAGAGGGAGCCUGAGGGACGGCUACCACAUCUAAGGAAGGCAGCAGGCGCGUAAAUUUCCCAAUGCUCAUCGAGCGAGGAAGUGACGAUCAAUAAUAAUGCGGGAGGUUAUCCUUUUGCAAUUAGAAUGAAAUAAAAUUAAAUAGCUACUUAACGAUCAAUUGGAGGGCAAGUCUGGUGCCAGCAGCCGCGGUAAUUCCAGCUCCAAUAGGAUAUACCAAAGUUGUUGCAGUUGAAAAGCUCGUAGUCGAAUUUCUGGUGGGUUGAUGUUCUUAUCUUGCAUAGCGCAAGCUGUGUUUUGUAAGGACCGCCUGCCAUUUUGUGGGCCAAAGUUGGGUUGGUGCACGCAAGUGCGUCAGCUUAGCUCCACUCAGUCACUGAGAGCAAAAUGGAGUGCUCAAAGCAGGCUUUACAGCUUUGAACAUCUUAGCUUGGAAUGACAAAGUACGACUACUCGUUCACUUUGUUGGUUAUGAAUGGGAAGUAAUGAUAAAUAGGAACAGUUGCGGGGGUACUCGUACUGGAAAGUCAGAGGUGAAAUUCUUGGAUUUUUCCACGACGAACAACUGCGAAAGCAUUUACCAAGGAUGUUUUCAUUGAUCAAGAACGAAAGUGCGAGGAUCGAAGAUGAUUAGAUACCAUCGUAGUUCGCACAGUAAACGAUGCCGACUCGGGAUUGGGAUCUUAUUCGUUUCUAGAAGGAUCCCAGCACCGUAUGUGAAAACAAAGUCUUUGGGUUCCGGGGGGAGUAUGGUCGCAAGGUUGAAACUUAAAGGAAUUGACGGAAGGGCACACCAGAGGUGGAGCCUGCGGUUUAAUUUGACCCAACACGGGGAAACUCACCAGGUCCAGACAUGAGAAGGAUUGACAGUUUGAAAGCACUUUCUUGAUUUCAUGGGUGGUGGUGCAUGGCCGUUCUUAGUUGGUGGAGUGAUUUGUCUGGUUGAUUCCGAUAACGAACAAGACUCUCAGAGUAAACUGGCUAGUGUCGUAAUUCGCGUUACUUCCGGCCUCUUUUCUCGACAAUUCGUUUUAAACGAAAGGAAGCAGAGAGCAAUAACAGGUCUGUGAUGCCCCUCGACGUUCUGGGCUACACGCGCGCUACAAUGACGAGUUCAACGAGUUUUUUCCUUGCCCGGAAGGGUGUGGGUAAUCUUUUCAAUGCUCGUCGUGAUGGGGCUAGAUUCUUGCAAUUAUUAAUCUUCAACGAGGAAUCUCUAGUAUGUGCAGUUCAUCAGACUGCGCAGAAUGCGUCCCUGCCCUUUGUACACACCGCCCGUCGCACCUACCGAUUGGACGAUCCGGCAAGAUGUUUGGAGUUGUGUCUUUUGCCGCAAGGCGAUUGAUGCGAUGAAGCUCCUCAAACCUUAUCGUCUAGAGGAAGGUGAAGUCGUAACAAGGCU
rnacentral:rRNA from 1 species